UUGUAAUCAGAGGGUGGCGAGAUGGCUCCAUACGGUAACUCAUAACUGUUAACAUUCCUUCUAGGCUCUACCCCACAGUUACCUGGCAAGAGCCAGGUAUGCCUGGCUUACUAUAAAAGGGACUAUUUGUCCCUUCCUCCAUCUACUCUCUUUUUCUCUCUGACUCCUUUCUCUCUCUGAACCCUUAAUCCCUCUCUACCCUUCCUCCUCUCCCACCCCUCUCUCUACUCUCUUCCCAACUCCCCUUUCCAUGCCCUAAAUAAACUAUUCCAUAC
rnacentral:lncRNA from 1 species